GCAGCUGCCACUCUAACAGCUCACUGUCCUGCACAGGUGAGCAGCUGGGGUCUAACAGCUCACUGUCCUGCACAGGUGAGCAGCUGGGCUCUAACAGCUC